CCAAAUCUAAUCUGGGUCUGGACAAUGAGAAUUUGUUGCAAAGUUGCACCAUUGAGAAGAGCGAGAAGUUGAGCAGCGAUGAGGAGGCCAGUAGAGUUCUGAUGAAGGACAGUGAAACUGUAGAUAUGUGCUUGUACUGGAGUGGACCUGAAACAACAAUAUUACCCAUGUGUUCAGAAUAUUAUGACAGCAAUGGAACAACAAAGCUCAUGGAUGAACAGAAGAAACGUGAUUUUAAAGAAAGUAUAAGUAACAUGCAGUCCAAACAUCUCAAGACCAUUGCAUUUGCACACAAGAAGAUCGAUGCUCUAAUGCCUGAAGAAGAAGACCAAAGCUUAAUAUUGAUAGCACUGCUGGGUGUGAAUAAGGGUUUCACUGAGACAAUGGAAGCACUGGAAGUUCUACGAAAAGCGGGGGUGGAUGUCAUAGAGUUCCCAAAAGAUACCGAAUCAGUACUGUCAGAAGGUGAAAGUCCAAUCUACGGAAUGGGGAGGCCUUCUGACAAGCUUCACACAGUGCAACGUUUGAAAGACAGGGGCCAUGUUGUGACAAUGGUUGGGACUAGAACAAAUGAGACUCCAGCUAUAAAAGAAGCAGAUGUGGGGAUUGCAAUGGGGACUUCCAUUAGUGAAAUGGCUAGAGAGGGUUCAGAUCUCAUCAUCCACUGCGGCAGCCUCAGUUUCUUGGUCGACAUUAUUCGGACAGGAAGAUGCAUUCACUACAACAUCCAAAAGUACAUCCAAGUUGAGCUCACCACGAAUAUAUCAGUGCUUAUGAUAAUAUUGGUUACUACAAUAUCUAUGGGACACUGCACAAUUGGGGCAUUUGAAGCACUGUGGGCAACUAUUUUUGUGACGGUAUGCGCGCUUGCGUUACUGCUUGAGCCGCCAACAGAAGAGUUGAUGGAAAAGACGCCGAUAAAACAAACUGAAUCUCUCAUUAGCAAGCAUAUGUGGAGAAACAUAUUACUUCAAGCUUUGUAUCAGGCUUCUAUAUCGGUUGCCUUACAGCUCAAAUGGAAAGCUCUCCCAGGCAUCAACGAGAAGACCAUGGAGUCCAUUGUUUUCAACAGUUAUGUUCUUUGUCAGGUAUUUAACCUAGUCAGUGCAAGGGAGCCAGAGAAGAAAAAUAUUUUCAGAGGUAUACUUCGAACUCCAUGGUUAUGGGUGGCUGUGGCCAUUAGUAUCCCCAUGCAGGUGACUUUUAUUGAGAUUGCACACAAGGCUGCUGGCAAUGCAAGGUUGGAUUGGGGACAAUGGGGCGUCUGUCUUCUAGUAGCGAUGGUUUCCUGGUUAAUCGAUUUGGCUGGCAAAUGUGUAUGGGGUGUCAUUGUGAAGAAUAGAAUUACAAUCGGCUCUGAUAUUGGAUCCACCAGUAUGAGUUCAGCUGCCGCCUCAAAAUCAGCUUCUAGUCGGGAGCUCCUAGCAAGCACUCAUGCACAUUGUUCCAAAUCCGGCCAGGAGAAUCUUAUUUUGUCAAAAUUAAUGAUUCGUUGUUGUAGCUAGCUAGCAAGAUAGUCUACUAGUAGUAAAAUUCAUGUUCAACUGGUCACUAAGGGCGUGUCCUGUAUAUUUUAAGAAAAUGGUUUCACAAUAUAAUUUUACAAAAUGAAAAUGAGAGAUUGAAUUGCAAGUUUUUUAAAAUCCUAAAAUGCAUCCGGCAGAAGUAUUGCAAAAACAAAAUCUGUAGUCUUCUUCUUUCCUCUUGUUAAAAUAAAAAAAAUAAAAAAAACAACCUUCUUUCCACAUAUAUUUCUUGUUGAACCAUGUGGAAAGAUCGACUGUUUUCCAUUGAAAUUAUUCGAGUUCGCAAGUAAAUUCUCUCUUGGUUAUAAAAAUGUUGAAAGAACAUAGCCAAACCCCCACUUUUGCUCAAGAGAUUGGAGAAGAGAUCAAAUAGCAUACAUCUGAAUAAUUAUUCUUCAAUCUCCUCGGUUCAAUUAGUCUGACUACCAAAGCUCCCAGACUACAACCAUCAUCGAUCUGAAGUUCUGAACCAGAUCUGAUCGACCACAUCCUGAUCAAAUCAAAACUUCGACCAAUCCUUUCUCCUCGUGAAACUUUAAUGAAAAAAAAAGUGGUCAUGAAGAGUGUUGCAUUGUAAUCUGCAGACUCAAAUACCCAAUGAAGAAGAUGAUGUAUAUGGUCAUCAAGAAAUGGAAUUCGACGGAGCUGCCUGGCCCCAAAGGGGUGGUGCGCCCAAUUUGAAGAACACAAGGAAUUAUUAAAAAAUAAUAAUAAUAAAAUAAAUCCUUUUGUUUUUUAUUUUUUGAAGAAGAAUUUACAAUAAAAAAAAGAAUAAAGGGUAAAUAAUCAUUUUACAACAAAAACAUGUUUUCCGUCGAUCUAUUUAACGGAGCUAACAGAUUCAAAUAUCAUUCUUCAUUGGACGUAAGAACGUGAGAUACCCUUCUCUAAUCACAGGAGUUUUUGUAAUUUCUUUCUUUUUAUUUUAAUUUAUUGGUCUUACUAUUUGAUCUAAUUACAUAAAGAUCAAACAGAGAACUAAUUAUGUAAGCUUGACAUGUGAACUAAUUAUAAUUGUUUAUGCAAUAAAAGUAACAUUAGCACGACGUACCAGGGAAUUAAAGAAGAAGAUAAAAGCUUUAGCUCGAGCAAUAAAACUUAAACAAUCAAUAACUAUGAGGAUGUACCAAAUAUAUAAGCCAUAAUUAACAAGUUAUAUUAGAUAAAUGAGGAACGGUGAUCAAUAAAGAUAUAUUAAGGAGAUGGUAAAAGUGUUCUCUAUAUAUUCACAGUUGAUCUUACAUGUUCAAAAUCUUCCUUCCACAUUGACAGAAACUAUACCUAUAUUUAUAUGCAUUGAUGCCCCCGUAUAAUGAUCAGCUCGAUCGCCGGCCUCGACCGCAGUUUGGAGCCAUGGCCGGGCAAGGAGACAAAGAUUAGAGAUGAGUACCUGUACUUCCAUAUACUUCCCUGGCUAAGAGUUGAGGAGCUUGCAGAGAAUAGAUUGAGGUGCCCAUCGAGCAACAGGAAGAACAGCAAACACAGAUUACCAGCAACAAGCUAGCCAUAUGGUUUCCUUACAUUUCUGGCUCCUGCUCUGUUGAUUUUGUUGUGCUAUUUAUACUAAAC
rnacentral:lncRNA from 1 species